rnacentral:rRNA from 1 species
UGAGGAAUAUUGGUCAAUGGACGAGAGUCUGAACCAGCCAAGUAGCGUGCAGGAAGACGGCCCUAUGGGUUGUAAACUGCUUUUAUAAGGGAAUAAAGUGAGUCUCGUGAGACUUUUUGCAUGUACCUUAUGAAUAAGGACCGGCUAAUUCCGUGCCAGCAGCCGCGGUAAUACGGAAGGUCCGGGCGUUAUCCGGAUUUAUUGGGUUUAAAGGGAGCGUAGGCCGGAGAUUAAGCGUGUUGUGAAAUGUAGAUGCUCAACAUCUGAACUGCAGCGCGAACUGGUUUCCUUGAGUACGCACAAAGUGGGCGGAAUUCGUGGUGUAGCGGUGAAAUGCUUAGAUAUCACGAAGAACUCCGAUUGCGAAGGCAGCUCACUGGAGCGCAACUGACGCUGAAGC